rnacentral:rRNA from 1 species
GACGAACGCUGGCGGCGUGCUUAACACAUGCCAGUCGAACGGAAAGGCCCUGCUUGCAGGGUGCUCGAGUGGCGAACGGGUGAGUAACACGUGGGUGAUCUGCCCCUUACUUUGGGAUAAGCCUGGGAAACUGGGUCUAAUACUGGAUAGGACCAUGCUGUAGGUGGUGUGGUGGAAAGAUUAGUUUCGGUAAGGGAUGAGCUCGCGGCCUAUCAGCUUGUUGGUGGGGUAAUGGCCUACCAAGGCGUCGACGGGUAGCCGGCCUGAGAGGGUGGACGGCCACAUGGGGACUGAGAUACGGCCCAGACUCCUACGGGAGGCAGCAGUGGGGAAUAUUGCACAAUGGGCGCAAGCCUGAUGCAGCGACGCCGCGUGGGGGAUGACGGCCUUCGGGUUGUAAACUCCUUUCAGCCAUGACGAAGCCCUUGUGGUGACGGUAGUGGUAGAAGAAGCACCGGCUAACUACGUG